rnacentral:rRNA from 1 species
AGUGAACGCUGGCGGUAGGCCUAACACAUGCAAGUCGAACGGCAGCACAGUAAGAGCUUGCUCUUACGGGUGGCGAGUGGCGGACGGGUGAGGAAUACAUCGGAAUCUACUUUUUCGUGGGGGAUAACGUAGGGAAACUUACGCUAAUACCGCAUACGACCUACGGGUGAAAGCAGGGGAUCUUCGGACCUUGCGCGAUUGAAUGAGCCGAUGUCGGAUUAGCUAGUUGGCGGGGUAAAGGCCCACCAAGGCGACGAUCCGUAGCUGGUCUGAGAGGAUGAUCAGCCACACUGGAACUGAGACACGGUCCAGAGUCCUACGGGAGGCAGCAGUGGGGAAUAUUGGAAAAUGGGCGCAAGCCUGAUCCAGCCAUACAGCGUGGGUGAAGAAGGCCUUCGGGUGGUAAAGCCCUUUUGUUGGGAAAGAAAAGCAGCAGGUUAAUACCCCGCUGUUCUGACGGUACCCAAAGAAUAAGCACCGGCUAACUUCGU